rfam:Ciona savignyi cont_23958, whole genome shotgun sequence.
GACGAUUGUCCUUACCACUUGUUGAGAACAUCCCAUCUCGUCCGAUCUGGGAAGUUAAGCAACGUCGGGCCCGGUUUGUUCUUGGAUGGGUGACCGCCUGGGAAUACCGGGUGUUGUAGGCG